AUGCUGAGAGCCCAGGAAGUACCAAGAACACACUGGGAACAAGCUAAAACAGCUUCAUUUGGGGAAAAAGUGCUCAGUGGAGAGAAAAGGAAACCUUCCCAGGGGAGCUUUGGCUCUGGCAAUGCCCAGAGGCCUCCCAUGCCUCAGCAACCCCCUCUCCAAUGGCACAGUGGGGAAAUGGGGAGAGAUUCCAGAAAAAAGCACCCCCACACCCCCAGCCCUGCAGCAGGGAGCAGAGCAGGAGCCCACGGAGCUGGGAUGUCAUUCCCAGCGUGUUCAACACUCCAACACAGUGAAUCAGUGCUUUAUUUCAGCAUGGAGAGGUACAAGACCUGCAGUGAGCUCCAGGGGUGGCAAACCUGCCCUGGUGCCCUGGGAUCCGUGGGAUUGAGGGAAAACACACGGAGAGAAAAGCCCCCAAAGUGUCCCCAAGUGCAGCUGCACCAGCAGCACAGCCCCUCUAAACCCACGGGUCAGCAACAGCCUUUUCCCUCUUUAAAGAUCCUCGUGGAUCCCUUCCAGAGGAGGAUUUGGCUCCUGGGCCAGGGAGGAAGCCAAGUGCCCCUGGAAUUUAUUGCACAGCGCUGAAUCAGGUGUAAGGCCAGGGCAGAGUCGAGGGCCCCGGUGUGGAACCGUCUCUGCAGUGUGGGAGGUGGGCAGAGGGGGAAAACACCUGGAUGCUGCCCAGAAAACAUGUGGGACCAUAAAACAUCCCUGCCCCAGCGCCCUGGAGGGUUUAUAUAGGGCAGUUCAUACCAUGAUCCCAGCCCAGAAUAGCUCCAGGGAUUAACCCUGACCCUGGCCUGGGCUAAUCCUGCCUUAGUCCCUGCAAGUGCCAGCAGAGCCUCCCUGGAGUGCAUCCAGUGCCUGCCUGGGCUCUGGACACUGUCAGCAGCAAACCCUCCCUGAGCUCAGCACAGGCACAGCAGCUCCUUGGAUGGAGCUGGAGCAGCCCCAGGGAGGAACUGGGCCAGGGAACCAGGAGAGAACCAGGACAGGGGAACCAGGAGAGAGCCAGGACAGAGAAACCAGGAGAGAACCAGGACAGGGAAACCAGGAGAGAACUGUGACAGGGAAACCAGGAGAGAACCAGGACAGGGGAACCAGGAGAGAACCAGGACAGGGGAACCAGGAGAGAACCAGGACAGGGGAACCAGGAGAGAACCAGGACAGGAGAACCAGGAGAGAACCAGGACAGAGAAACCAGGAGAGAACCAGGACAGGGGAACCAGGAGAGAACUGUGACAGGGAAACCAGGAGAGAACCAGGACAGGGAAAUAGAGAGGAACAGUGGCAGGGAAACCAGGGGAUAACUGGGAUGGGGGAACCAGGAGAGAACCAGGACAGGGGAACCAGGAGAGAACCAGGACAGGGGAACCAGGGGAUAACGGGGAUGGGGGAACCAGGAGAGAACCAGGACAGAGAAACCCGGGGAGAACCGUGACAGAGAUAUUGAGGGGAACUGGCCCAGGGAAAACAGGGGAACCCUGACAGGGAAAUCAGGGAAUAAAACCUUGACUGGGAAAUCAAGGGGAAACCGUGACCACGAAAUCAGGGGAAAACUCGGAGCAGGAGCUUCCUUGGGGUUGCUCCUGCUGUGGGUCCUCUUGGCAGGACAGCGCAUCCCAAGGAGUGAAGGCAGGAUGAGCCCAGGGCAGUGCCAGGUGCAGCAGCUCACUUAUUUUUCCGUCAGGUCAGAUUUACCUAAAAACAGAGGAGGAGCAAUCAGGGCUCAUGUUUCUUCCUCCAGAACCACCAGCCCUUUUUAUAAUGGGAAUUUUGCUACACAAC
rnacentral:lncRNA from 1 species